GAAUCCAUGGUGUAGCAAUACACCGGAAGAUUUAGUGGCGAACGGGUGAGGAUCACGUGAGAAACGUGCCCCAGACUCUGGGAUAACAAUUGGAAACGAUUGCUAAUACCGGAUGACGUCGGAGAAUCGCAUGAUUCACUGACGAAAGAUAUUUCGGUUUGGGAGCGUCUCGCGGCCUAUCAGCUUGUUGGUGGGGUAAUGGCCUACCAAGGCAACGACGGGUAGCUGGUCUGAGAGGAUGAUCAGCCACACUGGGACUGAGACACGGCCCAGACUCCUACGGGAGGCAGCAGUGGGGAAUCUUGCGCAAUGGGCGAAAGCCUGACGCAGCAACGCCGCGUGCGGGAUGAAGGCCUUCGGGCUGUAAACCGCUUUCAGCAGGAACGAAAAUGACGGUACCUGCAGAAGAAGGAGCGGCCAACUACGUGCCAGCAGCCGCUGUGACACGUAGGCUCCAAGCGUUGUCCGGAUUUAUUGGGCGUAAAGAGCUCGUAGGCGGUUGAGUAAGUCGGGUGUGAAAACUCUGGGCUUAACCCGGAGACGCCAUCCGAUACUGCUCUGACUGGAGUUCAGGAGGGGAGUGGGGAAUUCCUAGUGUANCGGUGAAAUGCGCANAUANUA
rnacentral:rRNA from 1 species